ensembl:snoRNA
ACGCGCUGCCUUUGAGCCCCCGCCGCGCCUGCGCGUGGCGCCGGGCGUCAGGCUGCAGCGCCAGAGCACGCGCUUGCGCAUAACUGGGGCCGCCCGGUUCCCCCGCCGGCGGCCCUUUUAACCGCGAGCGACACGG